GCCGCACGCUAAGAAAAUGUUACAUACCGGCUGUGUUAAAUUCACACAUCGAACCGUUUCGUGCACAAGAACGCUUCGGUGAGUAAAAAUUUUGCUCAUAAUGUGAGUAACUGUUCGCAAACUCACAUUUUGUGUAAAUCAGCUUUUAGCGUUUGUUUAGAAACCGUUUCGAAACGAAUGAAAUGUCAAAUUUCGAAACAAACUUUGAAAGUUUAUGUUUUUGUUUUUAUCUCGCGUUGUUGAUGCUGUUCCGGUGAAUUUUUCCUCAUGAAAUCCGCGCUCCUCCGGAUAGGAUGGAACAAUUCCUUGGCAAUUUUGGAAGGUAACGUAAAGAAAGAUUGGCUUACGAAAGAGACGGCACUGAGAAAAAAACCUGGCUCUAGCGUAGUGACUCAAAUUUCUCCGACGUUGGCCGGAAACUGCACUGCUGAGCGGAUGCGGUGUUUGCACAAGUUGCUUCUGCAGACGGAAAGUGAUAUUUGGAACAAUUCUUGUCAGAGGCAAAGUAGAGGAUUCUGUCAUGGGAACACGUCUGAUGGAUGUCCGGAAUUCAGUAAAUCUUCCUGGAACUGCUGCAGCUGUUCAAUUUACUGGCGUGACAUAU